GGGAAUAUUGGACAAUGGGGGCAACCCUGAUCCAGCCAUGCCGCGUGAGUGAAGAAGGCCCUCGGGUUGUAAAGCUCUUUUGUCCGGAAAGAAAAGCUUCGGGUUAAUACCCCGGGGUUCUGACGGUACCGGAAGAAUAAGCACCGGCUAACUUCGUGCCAGCAGCCGCGGUAAUACGAAGGGUGCAAGCGUUAAUCGGAAUUACUGGGCGUAAAGCGCACGCAGGCGGUCUGUCAAGUCGGAUGUGAAAUCCCCGGGCUCAACCUGGGAACUGCAUCCGNAACUGGCAGGCUAGAGUCUUGUAGAGGGGGGUAGAAUUCCAGGUGUAGCGGUGAAAUGCGUAGAGAUCUGGAGGAAUACCGGUGGCGAAGGCGGCCCCCUGGACAAAGACUGACGCUCAGGUGCGAAAGCGUGGGGAGCAAACA
rnacentral:rRNA from 1 species